rnacentral:lncRNA from 1 species
AUUAGGACAAAAAUGUCUAAUUGCUUUUCCACUGUUUGUAUUAAUGAAUGCAGAAAAUGCCCUAAAGGUAAAUUAAAAAUAAAAAUGGGUCAAUGGAGCAGGAAGAAAUGAUUCAGUCAGACUGGAACUCGUUGGGAUUAACUUUGCCGAGAUAAUCUCACCACAAUCAGGCAACUCCUCCAGAAACUAAUGUCUGCAUUUAUGCUCAGAAGAGAUGCUCGUUCCUCUUGCUGUCUGCCACCAGUACGCAGGUCACAAAAGUAAAAAUGUACCCGAGGAAGAAAAAGAGUAAGGAGGAGAAAUACACGAGAUAGGAAACCAAGGGGUCACUGCUGGGGAGGCGCCAUGACCCACGAGAGAAAGGUUACCGUGAGCCCCAGAAGGCAGAGGCAGGCUCUGCAGCCCCCCACUGGGGUGAAUGUUUUCAUGAAAUCACAGACCCCAUCUCAAAAGACACUUCAGGUUGUGUGCAUCCCACAUGUAACACUCAGUGGUAGAGAGAGCUUUGAAGAUGCAUGCGACCAGCCACAAAUCCCCAAAGCCCUUGCUGCCCUCUGUCCUCCCUGGAAGGUGAUCCACCACUUGGGACAACCCAUGCCGGCCUCUUCCAGCUGCGGUUCUCACCAUUGAGCUGUCGGUAACCCCCAAGUCCAUUUAGAGCAUUGAUUGUGACUGAUUCCAUGCCUUAAUUAAACAUGGAAAUGCGUCAUGAACUAUCAGAUCAGAAUGAACGUUUCCUGGGACCAAACUGAUUUCUUUGGACAGGAUAGAACAUGUUUUUAAGAAACUUCAAAAACUUCAAUGGCAUCAUAUAACUUCAGA